GGGGCAUGGGAAGGAGUCUUGGGUCAGGGAAGGGUUCACAGAGGAACUGGCAGUUUUAAGAAUGACUAGGUCUCUGCCAGGUGGAGGAGGCAUGGGGAGUAAGGGCAAAGCUGGAGGAGGUGCAGGUCACAGAAAAGGAUGCGUGCAAAGUACGAAGCCUUGAAAUAUUACGAUGUGUUGAGCAACUACAGGAUUUCAGUAUUGCUGGUUGGAGCACAAGGGGAGAAGAGGGACAUGAGGCUGGAGAAUCAGGCAGCUGGAUCUUUGGGCACCUGGGGUGCUGUGUGAAUGUCCAGGAUUUGGGGAGCCAUUGAAGGCCAGCGUCUGAUGGGAGUAAGUUCUCUCUGGCUCCAGAGUGGACAGCUGAUGGACAGGGGGCUGUCUGGAGACAGGGGAUCCUCCAGGAAGCCAUUCCAUUAAUCCUGCCCAGAGAUGGGGAAUCCUGAUCCUGGGUGGCAGUGGGGGAAACAGAAGGGAGGUGGGGUCCAGAGGUGUGAAAUGAUGGAACAGGACAAUUUUCCACCCCACAUCCUGAAAGACCGGGGAGAUCAUGGUGUAGGCUCAGCUAAAGGAGGCGGAAAUGACAAAAGUGGAAGGCCCUCACUCUGUGGAAAGCAAGGAGGAACGUGUUAAGAUAUAAAACAGCUUCUAGGUGGCUAAGGGGUAAAACAUCAGGACAAGGCAGCCAAAGGGAACUGGAGAGGAGAGGAGACACUGCCUGAACUGUUCCUUGCCCAUGGGGACAGGAGGUAUUCCCACAGAACCCUCCUCACUGUGCCCAAGAGUCACCCGGCAGAGCCCCUUGUGGCCACAUCCUGGUAAUGCAGACUGCUGCUUGAAAGAGAAGAGCCAGGACUGAGGCUGAGUGGCAGUCACGCCUUCCCUUUGUCACACCACAGUUAGCAUAACACCAAUCCCAGAGGUGUGAGCUGGGAGGGAGGGGUCUGAGUCAAGAGGAUGCACCUCAUCCAGGCUGCAGGGCUCCAAGCCUCUGGCAGAAUGUGGAGUGACCACAAGACAGGUGCCCUGGGAGGUUGGGGGUUCUGACUCAAGGGGGACAGAGUGACCAUCAAGAAAAGAGGAAUUUGGACAAGGCUUACCUGGGAGCACAGGCUUCUGCUGCUCAUGGUAUCGAGUGAGGUGGUUCAGUAGUCUGGUCCGGAAAGUCAAGGAGAGCUCCAUCCCUGUGUCCGGUGCCUUGAAGAAAAUGGCCAUAAGCAAGCUUCAUGCCCAGCACAGAGCCCAACAUGGGGCUUGAACUCACAACCCUGAGAUCAAGACCUGAGCCGAGAUCAAGAGCAGGACGCUUCACGGCCUGAGCCACCCAAGUGCAACUGGAGGUCAUGCGGAUGACCAGAAGUUGUGCCUCAAUAUAACAGAACCAAGACCACUUGCUUCUCUCUGUCUAGCCAAUUCAACCAGAUGUAAUUGGUGCCCCUACGGAGCCUCUGCUCCCAUCACUACCCUCUCUUGGUGGCCCGUCAGAGAAGACCCUGGCGGAGAAGCAGCUCCCGUACCUUCUCAUGUACCAUCAAUAAAGUAUACUGUACCCAACAAGAACGACAGCAACAGUUGACUAACCACACGGCUCCCCAGCCCAGCUUCCUCGCCGAUACUGUUCCUUUCCAAUGUCUGCUG